rnacentral:rRNA from 1 species
GAUGAACGCUGGCGGCGUGCCUAAUACAUGCAAGUCGAGCGAACAGACGAGGAGCUUGCUCCUCUGACGUUAGCGGCGGACGGGUGAGUAACACGUGGAUAACCUACUUAUAAGACUGGGAUAACUUCGGGAACCCGGAGCUAAUACCGGAUAAUAUAUUAAACCGCAUGGUCCAUUAGUAAAAGACGGUUUUGCUGUCACUAAUAGAGGGAUCCGCGCCGCAUUAGCUAGUUGGUAAGGUAACGGCUUACCAAGGCAACGAUGCGUAGCCGACCUGAGAGGGUGAUCGGCCACACUGGAACUGAGACACGGUCCAGACUCCUACGGGAGGCAGCAGUAGGGAAUCUUCCGCAAUGGGCGAAAGCUUGACGGAGCAACGCCGCGUGAGUGAUGAAGGUCUUCGGAUCGUAAAACUCUGUUAUUAGGGAAGAACAAAUGUGUAAGUAACUAUGCACGUCUUGACGGUACCUAAUCAGAAAGCCACGGCUAACUACGUG